UUAUCUUUUGUUCUUAUCAUUAUCUAGAUUAUUUUGAUGUCAGCUUGAGCUUUAUUUCAGCUAUUAGCAAUGAGAGUCAUUGCAACUUGCCUAUAAAUUUAAUGUCUUUAAUGGUUGCAGAAAUCAUAUGAAACUAAACAGUAUAAGAAGGGGCUGAUCGCAAACUUGCAUAUGAACAAUCAAGGGAGCACUGGCUUUAGAAGAAGGACUCUCCAAAGGCCUUCCAAUUCAGACUCCAGGAGGUAUAUUGCAAUGGUGGAAAUGUGCCAAGUUGCUGGCAAUAGAUAUCAGGACUUGCUAUGUUGUCAAAGAUGAGAUCAACUUGAAGACUCACAGAAGACCGGAGAUCAAAAGCUGAUAGAUUUAAAGUAGAAAUAAAUUAGCUUAAAUAUAUAGUUGUAGCCUUAUAGGUGUUUUUGGAUUUAGUUAGUAUUUUUUGAUGAAUCUGGAUUUAGUUAGUGUAACUGAAUAUAUUAAUUU